rnacentral:misc_RNA from 1 species
CCUGCGUCAGGAUGGUCAGUA